AGUACGUUUCACCUUCAAGUACUUGGAUUUGUGUAUAUAAAAUUUUCCCAGCAUAAGAAUGUUGUUAAUCAGGAAGUCAUCUUUGUUACUGUUCAUUAUAAGUCCAUAAGUGAUGUCCUUUAGAGUGAAGUUUCCAAGGUGAGGCACCUUUGGAUAAAGCCAGUCAUGAAUAUCAGACCAUAAAGCCUCCACAUACAUACAAUGAAAAAAUAGAUGAUCUGUGGUUUCUAUAUCAUCACAGAAUAUACAUUCAUUAGAAUCAAACCCAAACCUAAGUUGUAGGAAUUCACUGGAUGGAUAUAUCCCAUUUAAAAUUUUAAAAGGUACAAACUACAAAUAAACCACUGUGCAGAAAAAAGUGCACAACAACGAAGGGGUCACGCUCUAAAAUAUCAAGAGUGCAAAACAGACACAUCCACCCCACACUAGUGUGACUAUAAAACAGAGCAAGUUUUUACAAAUGGGAAAUAAUCAAGAAAAUCAAGAAUUCAGCCGCUCUGCAGGAAUAUGCACUAUGCAAAAAACAGCAAGAAGUUUACACACGCACACAAAUGAACUGGUGUGGCUGUAACAAUUAUGGUAACAUUGAACUUUUAAAGACUUUAAAAAGAGGUUGAAAUCAGAUCUGAUUCUGGCCCAGAUUAAUUGAUGUGUAACCCGGGUAACCUAAGAAAAGGAAAACAAAUUCCAAAAGAAAAAGAGAUUCAUCCAAUCCCUGAUUCGUGCUGCAAUGAGAGACACCCCUAAGAGCCAAUAGUAGCGGCGCAUUCAUAAGUCCCGCUCACUGGUCUCGCCGGUGCUGCUUUCAGUGUGAGCAGAUGAGAGCGAGUCAGAGCAGAUCAGCACAGACCAGACAGUUUCUCCAGAAAAUCCAUUGAUAUAACUGGAAAUGUGAAUGAGUGCACUGAAAGUUGAGCUUUUGAAGUCGACGCGUCAGCCUGAAGUGAUGUCGUCGGAGACAGAGAAGAGAGAGAGACUGAGCGGAUCCCAGCGUGUUGAAGCACUGUACAGUCAUUUAUGUUCAUCUGUUUACAUUUAUUGAGGAAAGAAGACAAAUAUCUAAGAAAAUGAAUGCGUAUCAUUUCCAUCUCUUGUUUCUUGUUUCUUGACAGACCGAAAGGAAAAGGACAGUGAUUCCCAAACCACAGAGAAAUUAAUUACUGUUGAUGAGUAUCAAGCACAACCUCGACAGAGACUCAGAAGAGGCUGAAAAAUGGAGGAAAACGAAAAAUUGAGAAACGAUGACAAAAAAAGCUACCAAAUCUGUUAAAUGAAGUGAAGAUGGCCCUGAAGUCUCUGUUUGUCAGCAUCAGUCACAUAACUUGGAUGAUGGGACAGGAUUUGCCACAGAGUAAUUACAGAGCCCUUCCAGCAGAACAGGAGCAACGUUGCAGAAAGUGUCCUCAUGUGGUGACCGCCAGCAUUGGUACAGCAAUUAAUGCCAAACUUACUGAAAUUAGAGGGAAGAAAACACAAAAACAUCUGAAAACCUUAAUGGUCUUUGAUGAUUGAUAGCUGUGACAGUGUGUUCAAGAUGUUUUGUUGUUGUUGUUGUUGUUGUUGUUGUUGUUGGAGUGUGUUUGUUUGUGUGUGUGUGUUUUGCCUUCGCAAAGUUCAGUUUGAUAUCAAGUUGUAAUUUUAAAUUACUCUUGUGGAGUAUAAUUUGAUUGUCUUGUUGAUUGUGUUGAAAUAAAGUAUUUCUAAUGUAAAUUUGUGCAAGUAAUUGACUGAAAUCAUAUAUGAUUUGUAUAUGCAGAGAUAUUGUAAUAUUUACUGAAAUCAUAAAAGAUAAUUAUAUGUAGAGAUAUGAGGUAUUAGGUGGAAACAUAUAAAGUUUGAAGAACAGACACACAAUUUACCUAUUAAAAACAUAUAAUCUGUAUAAAAUUCAUAUGAGCAAAUAAUGCAAAAUUUUAAAUGAAUCCUAUAUGACUUGCAUAUGAUUCAAUCAAGAAUUUUAAAUGAUUUGUAUAGGAAAUUUACUGAUAUUCAUACACAUUUUCUACUAAAAUCAUAUACUAUUGCAUACUGUUGUCAUGUAAAACUCAUAUAAGAAUUUUGCAGUAUUCAUAUAUGACCUAAAAAUCCCAUACAAGUUUUAUGUGUGCUUUUUAGUAUGAAAGUGGCCAUAAUCGGUCUGAUUUUGUAUAUGACAUGUAUUGGACUUAUAUGAAACACAUAAGGAAAUUCUGGCUGAUUUGAGUAAAGAAUAUAUAUGGUUGCUGUAUAUGAAACAUACAGGUUUUUUUC